rnacentral:rRNA from 1 species
AUGGCGCGGCAAGAUCGCAAGGUGAUCGAUAUAGAGGAUGGGCGGAGCCGCAGUUCAGCUCAGAGUACUCGUGAUUCUCUACAGGUAGGUCACCUCUCGCCCCCCCUCCAUCCGGCCAUGCGAAAGCCUCCGCUGCUGCUAUGCUGUACGUAUGGAGAUGAUCUCCCACGAAGCAGCGUGGUUGCCAAGCAUGACAUGACUGAAUGCCCGAUGGUCAUGAUACGAUCCGGUAGAUUACUGGAACGUCUAGGAACUGCUCGAUAUGACAGCUUACACAAGAAGGAACGCAGCCAAAAGAACACCGAUAGUCGUAAGAAACAGAAGACAAAACACAGAAUUGGAUCAAAAUCUUACUCGCAACUAAGUUUUGAGAAGAGAAACUUGGAAACUAGAGAAGAGCCAGAUUGUAUUGCUCUGUGGGAACUCACGCACACGAAGAAUGGAGCAUGGUCUAACACAGAGUCCCAGGAUGUUUACAGGCGGUGGUGGCCGGAGUCGAGCGCCACGAGCUCGCCGGCGGUGAGGUGGUUCGGGCGCGAAAUGAAGACGGCGACACUGCGCGCUUCGGGGCUAGCGGGAAGGCCAGGGGGGAGCUGCGCGUCGCGCCGAGCACAAAGGACUCGGCCCCGUGACCAUUUGGUCACCGGAAGGGCGCCGGCGACGCGUGCAGGCGGCGGCGCGGUCGGGUGCUUCGGCGGUAGCUAG